UUCCAAAGCGCUAUUGUGUCAGACUCAUCUCCCGCUGAAGAGGAUCCAGCGACAUCAAGAGAUUACGGAAAAUCACGCGAGAUAACUGGCUUGCACCUUGUUGGGUUUUUUCAAGGGCAGAGGGGAGAUUCCUGGCGUGCAUCUACUUAAUUUGAAGAAGGUAAGAGUCAAACUAUUUUCAUCUAAAUCCAUAUAAAAAUAUGUAACUUAAAAUUUCUCUACCAUUUGCACCAUUUUCUACUUGUUCCAUACUUGUGUCACAUUAUUUCAUGUUCUGUAGAUUAAGUCGGUUAGGUUAAGGCAGAUAGCUUUUUGUUUACAUUUAUCGCCGCACCAUGUUAGGUACAUUCUGUGCGAAAAAACUCUGCAGAGCCAUAUGUAGUGUAAGGGUCACAAAGCUGCUGCCAGAGACACAAAUGGACCCCAGAAAUGUCACAGUUUUGCUCCUCCUGAGCUCCCUGGAGGUUUAGUGGAUUUUUAACACACUGAUCUAACAUCAGUCUAUUUCUAACUAUUUUAAUUCUAUUUCAGUAAUGUUACUAUGGAGGUAAAUGUAGAUACACACACACACUUUGGUACCUUUCUAUCAUCAUCGAGAUUCUUAAUUAAUUAUGGUAAUAAAAAGUCCUACAUUUCAGUCGGUGAAACCUGCAGAAAGCAUUGCUUUCUGAGCUUUGUUAAAUGUUCCUAAAAUACCUGUUAGUUAUGGAUUUCUAGUAUAUUUUGUCAGGCUAAAACUCUCAAUGGAUUUAUCCAUUAUUACAGACUUGAGCUUUCUAUUUUUUUUCUUUAAAAUACAUAUUCCUCUGCUGUAAAGAUGUUGGGGUUUUUUGGACUCUUCUUUGUUGUCCCCAAAUAAUUGUAGCUCAGAAACAAUAUUGAAGUUCAUUGGUUUAAUUUUGAAAUGUUGAUGUUUUUUGUGUUGAUUGUUUGUGCUCAUUUUGACCUAUGUUACUAUUGCUUUCUACCAUGUUCAAUUCACCAUUGUUCUGCACAUAUGUGCUUGCAUACAAGUGUCCAGUGGUUAUAUUCAUGAGGCAUUCAAGGGACUUGUACUAAAAGAUACAACUCAGUUCAGUAUGAAUUGCAUAUUUUAAUGGCUGAAAAUAUAUCUGAUCUCUUUCAGAACAUCACCUGUCUGUAAUCCACCGGCGUAAGUACUGGUCAAGGGGCUCAUCGGCUAUCAAGUUAUAGAUUUCAGUGGCUAAUAGAAGACACUGCUGAGGUCAGACGAGAGUGCAUCCUCAAAUGUCUGUGUGUACCUAAAUGAAGAUCCAAAGAAGCUGGUGAGGGAGUACAUGGACGUUGAUGAAUGAAAUGGCCAAAGCCGAGACUGUCCUCGGAAUCGUCAUUUGAGCAGAGGCUGCCGAUGCACAUCUGGAUGUUGGGAUUGUCCUGGAGGAGGUGGAAGUUAUGAACAGCUUGGGCAGUGUAUCUUCUGCAAUAGUGAUGCUGCUGGGACUAAUCUACGCACUAAACUUGAGCUACCCUCAAGUUUAGUGCGUUCAGCACUCAACUUGCUCAGUAACUCAAGCAUACCUUUGAAGUAAUACAGAAAAUAAUAAUGAAAUUGGAUGGAAAGAACUUAUCAAAGAAAGCACAAGUUCUCAAUAUGAAACUCGCUGCUAAGUUGAGUAAAGUUUCAUAUGGAAAAUGAGUGUUUAAAGUCUGCAGUAGAAAAGAUUUAUAUUGUUACAGUUCUCUAAGUUGAGCAACUAUACUGACAUGUUUUAUGUUGUAAAGAAUUGGCUGGGAAAUGAAACUGUAACCUUUUUGUAGUUGUUUUUUUAUUUCAAUGUCCAACUCAGCUGUGUUUUGUGCUGUGUAAAAAAACGAUGUAUAACAAAAUACAAUUGUGUUGUACCUUUUCUAAUUGUUGAGUGUUCUUCCUACACUUUCACCUAGUGCUAUCUUAAAAUGCUUGAUUAACGCUUGAAAAUAUGUCUUUGAAUUAACGUCAUGAAAUAAUGGAAAGGAUUUUCACACGAUUAACUAGCUGUCUUUUAGCAUGAAGCAUAUUUGUUGAGCUAACUUGCUUUUAGUGAGUUGGACCUACUGAAUCAGGUAGUGUGAAGGUACCACUGUAAAAUAAGGUGGUUUCAACUAGAUUUACAUUCAUCUUAAUGAAGUUACAUCAAUGAUUUGGUCCUAAACAUUGCAGAUUAGUUGGGCGGGCUGUAUUGCAUUACACUGGGUCACGCUAUAGUAACUGAGUUAAAGGAACCUUUAAAACAUAUGUUGAGCCAACACAUUUCAUUUGAAUUUGAAUAACCUUAAUGAAUGGAGUUGAGCCAACUCAUUUGAUUUACAAUCAUCCAUUGCCUUACCAUAAUUCUGGUUAAGCCAACAUAUUUGGUUUAAAUUAGAACAACCUUAAUGAAUUAUGUUUUGCCAACUCAUUUUAUUUAUAUAAGAAUAACCACAAUAUAUUACGUUGAGCCAACAUGUUUGAUUUAGAAUCACCCAUUGAAUCACCAUUGUAACAAGUGGAGCCAACACAUUUGCUUUACAUUGGAAUAAUCUUAAUAAAUUAGGUUGACCUAACACAUUUGCAUUAAAUAGGAGUAACACAAGUACAUGGUGCUGAAAUAAAGCAAAGUAAUCAG